rnacentral:rRNA from 1 species
UAACAAGGAUUCCCCUAGUAACUGCGAGUGAAGCGGGAAAAGCUCAAAUUUAAAAUCUGGCGGUUUCACCGUCCGAGUUGUAAUCUGGAGAAGCAUUUUCCGUGUUGGACCGUGUACAAGUCUCUUGGAAUAGAGCGUCAUAGAGGGUGAGAAUCCCGUCAAUGACACGGACUACCAAUGCUUUGUGAUAUGCUCUCAAAGAGUCGAGUUGUUUGGGAAUGCAGCUCAAAAUGGGUGGUAAAUUCCAUCUAAAGCUAAAUAUUGGCGAGAGACCGAUAGCGAACAAGUACCGUGAGGGAAAGAUGAAAAGCACUUUGGAAAGAGAGUAAAACAGUACGUGAAAUUGUUGAAAGGGAAACGCUUGAAGUCAGUCGCGUUGUCCGGGACUCAGCCUUGCUUUGCUUGGUGUAUUUCCUGGUUGACGGGUCAACAUCAGUUUUGGUUGAUGGAUAAAGGCUGAGGGAAUGUGGCAUCUUCGGAUGUGUUAUAGCCCUUGGUCGCAUACAUUGACUGGGAUUGAGGUCUGCAGCACGCCUUUUUGGCCGGGGUUCGCCCACGUAACGUGCUUAGGAUGUUGGCAUAAUGGCUUUAAGCGACCCGUCUUGAAACACGGACCAAGGAGUCUAACAUGCCUGCGAGUAUUAGAGUGGAAAACUCUUGUGCGUAAUGAAAGUGAAAGUUGAGACCCUUUACCGGGGCAUCAACGCCCGGCCCUGAAGUUUACUGACGGUGCUGCGGUAGAGCAUGUAUGUUGGGACCCGAAAGAUGGUGAACUAUGCCUGAAUAGGGUGAAGCCAGGGGAAACUCUGGUGGAGGCUCGUAGCGAUUCUGACGUGCAAAUCGAUCGUCAAAUUUGGG